GGUCAUUCUCGUGAACCUUCUCUGCACCCUCUCUAAUGCCAAAAAAGGAGUCUGCGGAGAUUCGACACAUCGUCAAGAACCUUGGCAAACUUCUAUAGAUGUGUGCUGGAAAGCGUACUGACUAGCUGCAUUACAACCUGGUAUAAGAACACCAAUUUCCGCUCACCAAUGAACAGAAAUCAUACAAAAGGUCCUAUAUACAUUCUGAUAGUCGACACCAUUAAACUAGCAACAACUUACUUCCCCCUCGUUUGGAAGGGAACUUGUGCUUUCAGCAGCAUCGUUAUGAAUUCUUUUUCUGCAAAACAAUAACAGUUAAGAAAGAAAUGUUGUGCAAUUCGCCAUAAUGAAGUCUAAAGCAACUGACUCUUUGGUGCCGGCCAUCGAUACUAAAGCAC